GCGGGAGGGGAGGAGUCCCUCAGCCCGGAUUGCGAGAGGGUGCAGGCCAGGUCGAGGAACCCCACCAAUGAACG
rnacentral:pre_miRNA from 1 species